rnacentral:rRNA from 1 species
CCUACGGGUGGCAGCAGUGGGGAAUAUUGGACAAUGGGGGGAACCCUGAUCCAGCCAUGCCGCGUGUGUGAAGAAGGCCCUCGGGUUGUAAAGCACUUUCAGUGAGGAAGAACGCCUGGUGGUUAAUACCCAUCAGGAAAGACAUCACUCACAGAAGAAGCACCGGCUAACUCCGUGCCAGCAGCCGCGGUAAUUCGGAGGGUGCGAGCGUUAAUCGGAAUUACUGGGCGUAAAGCGCGCGUAGGUGGCUUGAUAAGCCGGUUGUGAAAGCCCCGGGCUCAACCUGGGAACGGCAUCCGGAACUGUCAAGCUAGAGUGCAGGAGAGGAAGGUAGAAUUCCCGGUGUAGCGGUGAAAUGCGUAGAGAUCGGGAGGAAUACCAGUGGCGAAGGCGGCCUUCUGGACUGACACUGACACUGAGGUGCGAAAGCGUGGGUAGCAAACAGGAUUAGAUACCCGGGUAGUC